rnacentral:rRNA from 1 species
UUUCUGCCUGAUGGUAGCAGAUUCUACACCUUUUGCUUAGCGGCAGUUUGCUGGGCUAUUUGGAACCGUUGUAAUCGAGCUACAUUUGAAUUUAAGAAGCUUGGGAAUCCUUCUGAAAUUGUUUUCUCUUCAUGUGUGUUUAUGGACUAUUGGGCAGGUUUGAUGAAGGAGGAGGAUCGACAGGUGAUGAGGGGGGGCGCUGAUGCUCAAAGACAAUGCCAGCAACACGAUGCGCACCUGCGCAGCGAUCCAGGAUGA